rnacentral:rRNA from 1 species
UACGUAGGGUGCGAGCGUUGUCCGGAUUUAUUGGGCGUAAAGAGCGUGUAGGCGGCCUGAAGGGUCCGCUGUGAAAACUCGAGGCUCAACCUCGAGACGUCGGUUGAAACCAUCUGGCUAGAGUCCGGAAGAGGAGUGUGGAAUUCCCGGUGUAGCGGUGAAAUGCGCAGAUAUCGGGAAGAACACCCGUGGCGAAGGCGGCACUCUGGGACGGUACUGACGCUGAGACGCGAAAGCGUGGGGAGCGAACAGG